GCCCUAGUAGCUCAGUUGCUAGAGCACCGGUCUUGUAAACCGGACGCCGGAGGUUAAAAUCCCCCCUAGUGCU
rnacentral:tRNA from 1 species